CAGCAUCAAAUAUUGAGUAACAGUACACCGCGGACCUGACAAUCAGCACAUCUUCUUCUGUUUACUCAACAGUUACAGCAGCCUGUUCCAUUUCUUUUGUCAGUAACGAAAUUAGAGGGGCUUUAAUUGCGGUGCGGGAAAAUCAUUAAAAAUAAGUGCUCUCACGAAAUUUACCAUCCAAAAUUGUGGGUUUUACAAACAUGUUCAUAUUUCUGCCGCUGCAAAUCGGAACAUAUUGAGGUACAAAAGAAAGUUUUACAAAAAAUAUCAACUGCUGCGGAGUUAUUUGGAAAAACACUAUUUUCUGUACCUUUUCAUCCGCCAAGGUCGAAAACAUGUUUUUUUCCAAUGCCCAGAUCUCAACAACAUAUUGAAAAAUUACUACUACACCACCCUUUGCAGUGCAAAGGCCUUAUUUGACCCCAACUGACUGGACUCGCCAUACCUAGUGAAUAUGGGUAUUUUAUUAUUAUUAUUAGUUUAUUAUGUAACCUGAUAUAAUUCAUCAUUAGUCAACAUUCGUGGAUAUAAUAAAUUGUAAAGAUUAA